AUACUUACCUGGCAGGGGAGAGACCAUGAUCACGAAGGUGUUUUCCCAGGGCGAGGCUUAUCCAUUGAAUCCGGAUGUGCUGGCCCCUGUGAUUUCUCCAAAUGUGGGAAACUCCACUGCAUAAUUUGUGGUAGUGGGGGGCUGCGUUCGCACUCUCCCCUG
rnacentral:snRNA from 1 species